rnacentral:rRNA from 1 species
GUAGGGAAUAUUGGGCAAUGGUCGGAAGACUGACCCAGCCAUGCCGCGUGCAGGAAGACGGCCCUCUGGGUUGUAAACUGCUUUUAUCUGGGAAGAAAAAGGCCAUGCGUGGCAAAUUGCCGAUACCAGAUGAAUAAGCACCGGCUAACUCCGUGCCAGCAGCCGCGGUAAUACGGAGGGUGCGAGCGUUGUCCGGAUUUAUUGGGUUUAAAGGGUGCGUAGGCGGCUGAUUAAGUCAGCGGUGAAAGACUUCGGCUUAACCGGAGCAGUGCCGUUGAUACUGGUUGGCUUGAGUGUCGGAGGGGUACAUGGAAUUGAUGGUGUAGCGGUGAAAUGCAUAGAUACCAUCAGGAACACCGAUAGCGAAGGCAUUGUACUGGCCGACAACUGACGCUGAUGCACGAAAGUGUGGGGAUCGAACAGGAUUAGAAACCCGGGUAGUCC